GUGGGGAAUAUUGGGCAAUGGGCGAAAGCCUGACCCAGCAACGCCGCGUGAAGGAAGAAGGCCUUCGGGUUGUAAACUUCUUUUAUGAGGGACGAAGGAAGUGACUGUACCUCAUGAAUAAGCCACGGCUAACUACGUGCCAGCAGCCGCGGUAAUACGUAGGUGGCAAGCGUUGUCCGGAUUUACUGGGUGUAAAGGGCGCGUAGGCGGACUGGCAAGUCAGAUGUGAAAUCCAUGAGCUCAACUCAUGAACUGCAUUUGAAACUGUUGGUCUUGAGUAUCGGAGAGGCAAGCGGAAUUCCUAGUGUAGCGGUGAAAUGCGUAGAUAUUAGGAGGAACACCAGUGGCGAAGGCGGCUUGCUGGACGACAACUGACGCUGAGGCGCGAAAGCGUGGGGAGCAAACAGGAUUAGAAACCCUAGUAGUCC
rnacentral:rRNA from 1 species